rnacentral:misc_RNA from 1 species
AGGUGCUCUAUGAUUUUCAACUUUGUCAAGCCUGUGUAUUUCCUUUCUUUUCCCAUCUCCACACACAGAAUCUGCAAAAUUUCCUGACGGCUCCAUGACUGUAGCAUUUCUGAGGCACCUGCAUACUUUGAUAAUUGAUAGACAAGUUCUCUUUUUUUAUCCAUGCUUAGCUUACUACAUUUUGAUGGGUCAAGUGCACUUCCCUCAAAAGAUAAAUCCAUAUUUAGAAUUCUCGAAUAAUUACAGCCCACUAAGCACACCACAUUACCACCAAAUCCAACCCAAAAAAGGGUGCUUGAAAUUCUACCACAACGAGCGAAUCCAUGAUUUAGGAGAGUUCUCUCACUCUUUAUCUUUCUAUCCCUCUUGCUGUAGAGAUAUAUAUCUAUAUAGAUAAAUAUGUAUCUCUCG